GGUUUAUGCUGAGAAAUACGCUGAGGAUCAGGUAGCAUUCUUCGACGAUUAUGCUGAAGCCCAUGCUAAGCUAAGCAACCUUGGUGAAAAAUUUGAUCCUCCAGAGGGCAUCGUAUUAGAUCCUUCUCCAAAGCCACAAGCAGAGAAGUUUGAAGCAGCAAAGUACUCAACUGGAAAGGUUCUUUUCUUGCACCGUUUAUACUUAUAUUUUACUAUUCAUUUAGCUGACAGUUGUAGAAAUUUGUUAGGCAUCUCGUGAAAGACUAACACAAGAAAAUUUCAUAUAUAUGCGCGUAUUGUUCAUUGUUUCAAUUUUUCUGGUUUGGUGCAGGAUU